ensembl:lncRNA
UGACCAACACUGUUUUCCUGAUAAUGUACAUCAAUACACCAAUGGAUGUGUGAAUGAUUUACACAGAAAUUAAUUCUGUUCAUGUUGCAUGGAGGCCCAUUGUGUUUAUCAAGGUCUUUGUUGAUGUUACCUGGACUACGGAUGACAUCUGGUGCAUAGUUACGCAUGAAAUCAUGAGAAAUUGUGUUCUGCUGCCUGCUGAGAUGGAGUUUUCAGUGAUGGAGAAAUGUCCAGAGCAGGUUCAAUUAAUGAAGGUCGUGCCGUGAAUAUAAGAUCACUCUUUGAGGUUAGGAGAAAGCUUCCCCUUCACAGUCCAGCUCAGCUGCAGCCAGUGGAGAAAACUUUGCCUCCACCAUUACUUUUGACCUUCCAACUGAUUUAUCGCAAUCAACUGGAAGGAAAAAGGAAUUCAGGCACUGUCUAUGUGCUGAACAAAGGCACCUGGGGACUGCAACAGACAGUUCACAGCCUCCCAUCAAUUUCCAGAUGACAGGAACAAGAGCUACAGCGGAAAGGUGCAGGGCUGCAGAGAGGGGAAAGAAGGGAAGCCGGGCAGUCAAAAAAGUCCCUAAGGCAUGGACUAGUUAAUUAGCUUUGUAAGAAAACAAUCAGGCUAACAAGCAAAACAAAGUUAUUAGUUUCCCCCCGUUAUCCUGCAUGGCCUUUAGAGGCCUGUCUGUAUCAGACCCUCAGUCCAUUGUCACACCUCAUCUCUGAUUACUUUGACAGCUGCUGUAUUAUCCACAUAAAGGGCUGCGUAUGUCUUUACCAAGGUUGCACAUUAGAAUUCAACUGGAAAUGCUGUUUUAAUUUCCAAUUGAGAAUUUAAGGAAGUAGAAUUUGAAUUUUAUUAAUAUGAAAUUCAGAUAAUUUUUUUUUGUAUGUGUUGGAAUAGUUCACCCAAAAAUUCUCUCAUCAUUUGUUUACCUUUUCAUCAUAUAAAGCUAUCAUGUCUCUUCCGACACUUCAAGACUUGAUUAAACUGCUUGAUUCNCACAAUCUCUAGCUGGAGUGCCCGAGAGCUUCCCUAGAGGGCACUCCAUUACAGACUCUUGCCACUUUUCCCACGGACUUCAUUCCCCAUAAUCCUUUGACUGGACUCAUCACUGAUUGCGUUCACCUGUCUUGUUCAGUAUUGUUUAGCCCAUGUUUAGCCCUAGUUCCUGUGUUUUUUGUGUUUCCAUGUUCCUGUGUUCCUUUUUGUCUUGCCUUGCCUUGUUUUUGACCCUGGACUGUUUCUUGUUUUCUAAUCAUUUGCUGCCUGCCCUUUUGCUUGUUUAUUGGAUUACUCUUUUGUCUGCCUUGGAUUAUACCUGUUUACAACAGUUUGACCUUGCCUGUUUUGACCACUCUUGUAAUAAAGCAUGCACUUGGAUCCUCA